CUCCUCUACGCCGCCUCCACCCAAACCCUAAACCUAGCUGCUCCCCACGCCGCUGCCGUCUCCGUCGCCCAGCUUGCUGGAUCCCCAUCGUCCACUUCCAUGUCGCCGUCGUCCUCACGUGCACACGGCAGGAGGAGCAUGGGAGAUGUGGAGCCGCCGCAAUCGUCCUCUCGUUGUAGCUCCACGCGGCCGCGCUGCCGCCCUCCACGCAGCUCCAUGACGCCACCGCUCCCCUCCGUGCCGCGCCCCGCUGCUCUACUCCCCCGAGCAGCUCCCCCUCUCCCUACAAAUCCCUUAUUUUCCCGUCUAUUCAAUCGAGCCCCUGUUCCUCAAUCUGGUGGGAUGACUACGAGGCGGCACUCGAUCUGGAGGCAUGGAGGCGGCAUGGGGUGGGCGCUCCUCGUCCUCGAGCUCCACUUCUUCAGCAACUCCAGGCCCUCCUCAACAUCUUUGCCGUUCUCGCCAUGGGGUGGGCUGCGGAAGUUGACCCUGCGGUACUCGUGCAAGCGUGGCUCCCUCCUCCAGUUGCUCAUCGGCCUCACUUUCCCCAUUAGGAAUCUACUACCUAGGAGUACAUGGAACAUUGGUUCUACCUCAGUUGCGCAUUUUUUUAAGAAAUCAAGAGGCCACUGGUUUAUUAUUUUCAGUGAUGGGGACAGCUUUGCAACUGUAGAACAUAGUAUGAGUUAGCACUUACGAGCAGUCAAGGGGGGUAGGUAGCAUAAAUCUCAUCUUUCAUGAUUUGACGUGCAUCACUUUGGAGUGGGAUGGCUAAUAAAUUAGGUAGUGAUGCUGUCUGGUAUUGUUCUGUACACUCCUGCAUCAUUAAGUUUUCCAGGCAACAACAGCACAAUGCUGAUAAUGAAAAGGAUAGGUGCAGGUUCAGACAGCUUAGGGUAUACAGAAGUUGCUUACAGGGUUGUAGUUGGAACAUGGGACCAUUGUUUGAUAUUGAGUCGUUGUCGAGUGGACAAUUUGAUAUUGGUCUCAGCCAAACAUAAAAAAGGCACCACAUGUCAAAUCAAUAAGCUGCUUCCUGGUUGAUCUUAAAUUAGUCGAUCGGUGGUAGUGAACUGGCAACGACGAAUUGAAUUGGUUUGAUAUAUGGAUCCAUGUGUACUUGCUGAUCUUUGACUAGCCAGUGCCAGUCCUUUCUGAUGUUUUCAGGUCCCAAAAUGCGCCUUCGUUGAAAUUUGUAGGAGAUGAUCUGAUUUAUUGUAGAAGUACAACUGCUGCUGCUGGAGCUCAUGCCUCAAGAAAGGCCAUCCAUGGUUUAUGGCAGGAGACCCGGAGAAGAACAACCAACUUUAUCUAAAAAUGGAAGAGCUAGCACCAAAGAGCCCCAGCCCACCUCCAAGAUCAAGUUCUAUGCGUAAUUCACGGAUAGUGGUUGGCGGCACAUCUUCUAACCAAGUCACCUCCAGUGAUCCUUCUGUUGACAAGCAGCCAGACCCAAGGUUAGUCUCUGAAGAUGUCUGUUCAUAAUUUAUUAUUCUCUAAGUUCCACAUGAUUAGUCUCCAGAAAAAGCAUGGCCACCGGCACAAAAUGGACGAAGAAGAGGUGAGCUGCCGCGACAUCGAAGCUCUCGCACCGAUGCUCCCCGUCGAGCUCGCGCGUGCGCCGGAUCUGGUGGCCAACACAGCCCGUCCGUCCGCCGGCACCUCCAAGCAAGGCCUACAACAGCACUCCUUCUAUGAGAGACGCUGGAUCAUUGCCUUACACAGGCACUAUGGGUUGCGCUUCCUGAUGUAAAUCACUUCCUGGACAGGCGGCAUGCAUCCUGAUGCAAAUCAGUUCCUGGACAACCAAUUUGAGAUCAAUUAUCCGGAACUCAUGUACUACUUCGCCCCUUUUGCUGGAUCGAGAAGGCAAGGACCUCACCGAGCUGAACGUGUGCUGAACGCGAAGGUGCCGUACGUUUAGUUCUUGAUCGGAACGGAUCGUGAAGGUGUACGACUACAUCAACCGCGUUGAUAAACGCUUCCGCUUACGGUUUACGAGGGUUGCUGCCGGAACCGGAUGGGGUCUCCAGCCAGCCUGCCAUUUGGCUUGCAGUCUUGGUCAUUGCAAGUUAGCCUUACAUAGGUAUAAGGGUUUUAGUACUUCAUUAAUGUGACAAAAGUGAAGAGAAAACUGUUGCAUCGAAUUAGUAAUGGAGUGGUUUCGAUGAGAACUAAUAAAGAAUAUAUUUCAUGACCGAGACAUUGAUAUGAAUUUUGAGUAUUUAAUAGAGAAAUCCAGUAGUUCAUAUGAAGAAAAAGAAAGGCAUGAUGUACUAUAUUGACAGUGAUUAUUAGCCCAUUAUGGUACUUCAAAUCUGAUAAAGAAUGUAUUUCAUGACU